GCACGGGUGGCGCAAUAGGAUAGCGUGGCAGCGUCCGAAGCUGCGGGGUGCGGGUUCAAGUCCCGCCCCGUGCA
rnacentral:tRNA from 1 species